rnacentral:rRNA from 1 species
UGGGGAAUCUUCCGCAAUGGACGAAAGUCUGACGGAGCAACGCCGCGUGAGUGAUGACGGCCUUCGGGUUGUAAAGCUCUGUUAAUCGGGACGAAUGGUUCUUGUGCAAAUAGUGCGAGGAUUUGACGGUACCGGAAUAGAAAGCCACGGCUAACUACGUGCCAGCAGCCGCGGUAAUACGUAGGUGGCAAGCGUUGUCCGGAAUUAUUGGGCGUAAAGAGCGCGCAGGCGGAUUGGUCAGUCUGUCUUAAAAGUUCGGGGCUUAACACCGUGAUGGGAUGGAAACGGCCAAUCUAGAGUAUCGGAGAGGAAAGUGGAAUUCCUAGUGUAGCGGUGAAAUGCGUAGAUAUUAGGAAGAACACCAGUGGCGAAGGCGACUUUCUGGACGAAAACUGACGCUGAGGCGCGAAAGCCAGGGGAGCGAACGGG